rnacentral:rRNA from 1 species
UACAGAGGUCUCGAGCGUUAGGCGGAAUCACUGGGCUUAAAGCGUGUGUAGGCGGAUCGUUAAGUGCCUUGUGAAAUCCCACGGCUCAACCGUGGAACUGCUUGGCAUACUGGCGGUCUUGAGCAACCUAGGGGCGAGCGGAACAAAUGGUGGAGCGGUGAAAUGCGUAGAUAUCAUUUGGAACGCCAAUGGUGAAAACAGGUAGCUGGGGCUGUGCUGACGCUGAGACACGAAAGCCAGGGGAGCGAACGGG